rnacentral:rRNA from 1 species
ACAAGCGGAGGAGCAUGUGGUUUAAUUCGAUGAUACGCGAGGAACCUUACCUGGGGCUCGAACGUAAGAUGACUGUAGGUGAAAGCUUACAUCUCUUCGGAGCAUUUUACGAGGUGCUGCAUGGUUGUCGUCAGCUCGUGCCGUGAGGUGUCGGGUUAAGUCCCAUAACGAGCGCAACCCCUACCUUUAGUUGCCAUCAGGUUAAGCUGGGGACUCUAAAGGAACUGCCUACGCAAGUAGUGAGGAAGGCGGGGAUGACGUCAAAUCAGCACGGCCCUUACGUCCAGGGCUACACACGUGCUACAAUGGCCGAUACAGAGGGCAGCUACCUGGUGACAGGAUGCAAAUCUCCAAAGUCGGUCUCAGUUCGGAUCGGAGUCUGCAACCCGACUCCGUGAAGUUGGAUUCGCUAGUAAUCGCGCAUCAGCCAUGGCGCGGUGAAUACGUUCCCGGGCCUU